rnacentral:rRNA from 1 species
ACCAAGGAGUCUAACAUAUUUGCAAGUUAUUGGGUAAAGAAAAUACCUUAAUGGCAUAAUUAACAUAACUUUUUUUAUAUAUAAAAUGGGAUUAGUUUUUAGAUUAUAUUUUUUAAAUAUAAUUCUAAUAAUUCAAUCCCGGGGCGUUCUUAUAUAGUUAUGUAUAAUAAUAUUUUAUUAUAUUAUUUAUACCUCUAACUAGAGCGUACCUUGAGCAUAUAUGCUGUGACCCGAAAGAUAGUGAACUAUACUUGAUCAGGUUGAAGUCAGGGGAAACCCUGAUGGAAGACCGAAACAGUUCUGACGUGCAAAUCGAUUGUCAGAAUUGAGUAUAGGGGCGAAAGACCAAUCGAACCAUCUAGUAGCUGGUUCCCUCCGAAGUUUCCCUCAGGAUAGCUGGUGCGUUUAAAGAUUGUGUAAAAUAAUCUUAUCUGGUAAAGCGAAUGAUUAGAGGCCUUAGGGUCGAAACGGCCUUAACCUAUUCUCAAACUUUAAAUGGGUAAGAACCUCACCUUCCUUGGUACGAAGGUUGUGGUUGUGAUAUAAUGUGCCCAGUGGGCCACUUUUGGUAAGCAGAACUGGCGCUGUGGGAUGAACCAAACGUAAUGUUACGGUGCCCAAAUUAACAACUCAUGCAGAUACCAUGAAAGGCGUUGGUUGCUUAAAACAGCAGGACGGUGGACAUGGAAGUCGUAAUCCGCUAAGGAGUGUGUAAUAACUCACCUGCCGAAGCAACUAGCCCUUAAAAUGGAUGGCGCUUAAGUUGUAUACCUAUACAUUACCGCUAAAGUAAAUGGUUUAUUAUAUUCAAGUUUUAUAUUUGAAUUUGUAGACUUUGAAACUUUGGUGAGUAGGAGGGUACUAUGGUGUGCUUUGAAGUGUUUGGCGCAAGCCUGCAUGGAGCCGCCAUUGGUACAGAUCUUGGUGGUAGUAGCAAAUAAUCGAAUGAGACCUUGGAGGACUGAAGUGGAGAAGGGUUUCGUGUGAACAGUGGUUGAUCACGAGUUAGUCGGUCCUAAGUUCAAGGCGAAAGCCGAAAAUUUUCAAGUUUAAUAGAAAUUAAUAAUAGAUUUUAAAAGGAAAAUAAUAUGUAACUAAACUAAUCCACUUACAUUGCACACAUGUGUAUGGCGUGUAUGUGUAUGUGUGUGUGUGUUUGUUCAUAUUAUAUAUAAAAACUAAUAUUUAUAAUACGCGCAUAUAUGUGUGUGUAUUUUUUUUUAUACAUAUAUAAUAUGUAGUGUAUUAUAGAUAAGAAUUUAAACAUUUGAAUAUUUAUUGAACGAAAGGGAAUACGGUUCCAAUUCCGUAACUUGUUGAGUAUCCGUUUGUUAAUAAAUAUGGGCCUUUGUGCUCAUCCUGGUAACAGGAACGACCAUAAAGAAGCCGUCGAGAGAUAUCGGAAGAGUUUUCUUUUCUGUUUUAUAGUCGUACUACCAUGGAAGUCUUUCGAAGAGAGGUAUGGUAGAUGGGCUAGAAGAGCAUGACAUUUACUGUUGUGUCGAUAUUUUCUCCUCGGACCUUGAAAAUUUAUGGUGGGGUCACGCAAACUUCUCAACAAGCCGUACCAAUAUCCGCAGCUGGUCUCCAAGGUGAAGAGUCUCUAGUCGAUAGAAUA